rnacentral:lncRNA from 1 species
ACCCACAACUAUCUGUAAUUCAAGUUCCAAGGAGAUGCAAUGCCCUCUUCUAACCUCUGUGGGCAUCAGGCAUUUUCAUGAUACACACACUUAUAUGCAGGCAAAUACUCAUACAUAUAAAAUAAAAAUCUAAAAUAAAUUUUAAAAGAAGAAAAUUAAACUUUCCUCUUUGGUUUUAGAUAUUGCAUUAUCCCAGAAAAGUCUACAUAAUACUUUACUAGGCAAACAUUUAGAACAACAAAGUGUUAUAUUAGGUAAAUUGUUCAAAGAAAUUCUCAAGAUCAUGGCUUCUCAUAUGUUCAGUAUAUAAAUGAGACAUAUAGGCAGCGUUAUAUAAAAUAGGAGUUACGUGUUGGAGCGAUGGCUCAGAGGUUAAAAAGCACUGGCUGCUCUUCCAGAGGACCUGGGUUUGAUUCCCAGAACCCACAUGGUGGCUCUCAAUUGUUUAUAACUCCAGUUCCUAGGGGACGAAGUUCUCUUGUGAUCUUCACAGGCACCAGGCAUACAGGUGGUGUACAACCAUAUAUGCAGGCAAGACUUUCAUAUACAUAAUAAAAUAAGUAAAUACAUACAAUUUAAAAAAU